rnacentral:lncRNA from 1 species
CUUGGCAAAGCGGGCGAGCUUAUAUGUCUUGCUUUGAAUGCUAAUGGACUAAUAUUGACAUCUCCAUUACCGGUUCUGCACUUCAUUCAAUGAAGCUGUAGAUGAGUUAAACUGAGACAUAAUAAAUAUCGAAAACAUAAGACCAUCACUUGAAUUUAAUCAAAAUCUCCUUUCAGAAAGUUCUAAGCUUUACACAUUGUUCAGUCCAUCUUGGCAAAGCGGACGAGCUUAUAUGUCUUGCUUUGAAUGCUAAUGGACUAAUAUUGACAUCUCCAUUACCGGUUCUGCACUUCAUUCAAUGAAGCUGUAGAUGAGUUAAACUGAGACAUAAUAAAUAUCGAAAACAUAAGACCAUCACUUAAAUUUGAUCAAAAUCUCUCCUUUCAGAAAGUUCUAAGCUUUACACAUUGUUCAGUCCAUCUUGGCAAAGCGGACGAGCUUAUAUGUCUUGCUUUGAAUGCUAAUGGACUAAUAUUGACAUCUCCAUUACCGGUUCUGCACUUCAUUCAAUGAAGCUGUAGAUGAGUUAAACUGAGACAUAAUAAAUAUCGAAAACAUAAGACCAUCACUUAAAUUUGAUCAAAAUCUCUCCUUUCAGAAAGUUCUAAGCUUUACACAUUGUUCAGUCCAUCUUGGCAAAGCGGACGAGCUUAUAUGUCUUGCUUUGAAUGCUAAUGGACUAAUAUUGACAUCUCCAUUACCGGUUCUGCACUUCAUUCAAUGAAGCUGUAGAUGAGUUAAACUGAGACAUAAUAAAUAUCGAAAACAUAAGACCGUCACUUGAAUUUGAUCAAAAUCUCCUUUCAGAAAGUAUAAUGUUUACCAAAGAGAGAAAUAUCUCUGCUCACCAUUGAAUAACCAUGACCACCCUAAGUAAUUGCAUAGUCCUAGCAAAAGCUCAGUCGGACCCCAGAUAGAUGCGGGAUGCAGACAACUCUUGCACCAUGAGAAAUUGAUUCUUACAACAAAAUAAACUCUAAUCUAACUUUAGGCUGCAUCAGAAACCAAAAGAGGAAAGUGACUAAGGGGAAAAGGUGUGAGGAAAGGGAGGAAUAUUGAGCUAUCGCUGCUCUAGCUGCUGCAAUGCGUAAAACGGUAUAUAACAAAAUUCGCUUUGCUACAUGCUAGCCUGCUAGUUCUUUGUUUUUGUAAUUUGUAAGGUAAGAGUAGGACUAAUUUUUCUACCGUUCUACUAAAAGGAGUACUUUUGUAAAUGUCGUUUCAUUUGUUUUUCUUUUGGGUUAAAAGUGUGAGUAGUGCCUGAACAUUGCAGGAGUAGUGAUCUGGUCUCUCAAACAUACGGAGUCCUAGUUGCAUUUUCUAUCCAAAAUUCGUAAUGUUUAAACGGUGCCCAACUUGUCGUAUGGAGUGAUCUUUUUAUCCCACAUUUGUCCAAAAUGAAUUGCCAGAUAAUUUAGGGAUAGAAUCAUAAGAUGGUAUCAAUUACAUUUAUAGGAGUUGGCAUCGAGAAAUUUUGAUGGAGAGUGCAUCCAGGGAUGAUUAGUAUGAACUAGACCUAAACUUAAUGCCCAAAUUUGACUCACUAGACCUAAUCACAACUCAAUUAUGGACUAUUGCCUGCACUCCUUUCGGAAACAAUAAAAAAACUCGAUUACAGGCUGCAUUUACUUCCAUUUGAUUUGUGUAGUAACUAAUCUAAUUAAAUUGUACUGUGUCGAAGAACUAAAUUGUUUUGAAACAACCAUUUGUGUUUUCUGACUUUGUAGCCAAAUUACUUCAAGUGCUCAUAAUUAUUGGGCCAUUUGUUAUAUUUUUCUGUUUCAUGCAG